rnacentral:rRNA from 1 species
UACGUAGGGUGCGAGCGUUGUCCGGAAUUAUUGGGCGUAAAGAGCUCGUAGGCGGUCUGUCGCGUCGAUCGUGAAAACUUGGGGCUUAACCCUGAGCUUGCGGUCGAUACGGGCAUGACUGGAGUUCGGCAGGGGAGACUGGAGUUCCUGGUGUAGCGGUGAAAUGCGCAGAUAUCAGGAGGAACACCGGUGGCGAAGGCGGGUCUCUGGGCCGAUACUGACGCUGAGGAGCGAAAGCGUGGGGAGCGAACAGG